GGUAAGAAAUUGCAUUCCGUUAAGCAAAACUGCCUAAGGGAUUUGAUGGGAUGCUGUCUCCUUGCAUUCAUUUGUAAGCUGCCAAAUCAUGCAAAGUAUUGUAGCCUCCAAAAUUAGGGGCUCUGAUUGAAAAAACACCAACCGUGAUCCUGCAUAGCAUUCAACUCUCUUUUUUCACUUUAUCGCUUCUCCCUAUCCAUCUGUGUGAUCGUGCAGUGCCUGAGGAUGUCUUGGAUGGUGUGUGGGACAGAGGCCAAGCAGCCCAGCAAUGUAGAGUUAUCUCUGUUGGUGUUGAAUACACUAACGCCUGUAACAGAUAUUGCGGUAGUAAAGAGAAU